rnacentral:lncRNA from 1 species
CUAUGAAUGGUGCCUAUAGAUCGUGUGACUGUUCCUGUGGAUUGCGCCUUGAUUUUGUGAACCAACUGGCCGGUCCACCAUGCACCGAAGAUAAUAAAAAUUAUUUUUAAGGAUAUUUUGACUCGAUUUUUGCUUUGAUUUUUGCCUGAAAAAUUAGAAAAAAAUAUGCAUUAAAUUUUUCAAAAUUUUUUCAUUAUUUUAAUGCUU